rfam:Zea mays cultivar B73 chromosome 5, whole genome shotgun sequence.
ACUCUAGUAUUAACCUCAAUCCACGUGUGUUGAGGUGUAUUGGAGUGUAAUUUAAACUAAUUUAUACCUCAAUCCACCUCAACACAUGUGGAUUGGGGUCAAUACUAGA